rnacentral:misc_RNA from 1 species
GUUGCGCCCCGACUUGAGCGGAGCUCUUUUUCUUUUUUAAAGAAAAAAGCGGGAGCGGAAGGCGGAUAAAGGC